UACGUAGGUGGCAAGCGUUGUCCGGAAUUAUUGGGCGUAAAGAGCUCGUAGGCGGUCUGUUGCGUCCGCUGUGAAAACUCGGGGCUUAACCCCGAGCCUGCAGUGGAUACGGGCAGGCUAGAGUGUGGUAGGGGAGAUCGGAAUUCCUGGUGUAGCGGUGAAAUGCGCAGAUAUCAGGAGGAACACCGGUGGCGAAGGCGGAUCUCUGGGCCAUUACUGACGCUGAGGAGCGAAAGCGUGGGGAGCGAACAGG
rnacentral:rRNA from 1 species